rnacentral:rRNA from 1 species
AGUGAAAGACGGUCUUGCUGUCACUUAUAGAUGGACCCGCGCCGUAUUAGCUAGUUGGUGGGGUAACGGCCUACCAAGGCGACGAUACGUAGCCGACCUGAGAGGGUGAUCGGCCACACUGGAACUGAGACACGGUCCAGACUCCUACGGGAGGCAGCAGUAGGGAAUCUUCCGCAAUGGGCGAAAGCCUGACGGAGCAACGCCGCGUGAGUGAUGAAGGUCUUCGGAUCGUAAAGCUCUGUUGUUAGGGAAGAACAAAUGUGUAAGUAACUGUGCACGUCUUGACGGUACCUAACCAGAAAGCCACGGCUAACUACGUGCCAGCAGCCGCGGUAAUACGUAGGUGGCAAGCGUUAUCCGGAAUUAUUGGGCGUAAAGCGCGCGUAGGCGGUUUUUUAAGUCUGAUGUGAAAGCCCACGGCUCAACCGUGGAGGGUCAUUGGAAACUGGAAAACUUGAGUGCAGAAGAGGAAAGUGGAAUUCCAUGUGUAGCGGUGAAAUGCGCAGAGAUAUGGAGGAACACCAGUGGCGAAGGCGGCUUUCUGGUCUGCAACUGACGCUGAUGUGCGAAAGCGUGGGGAUCAAACAGGAUUAGAUACCCUGGUAGUCCACGCCGUAAACGAUGAGUGCUAAGUGUUAGGGGGUUUCCGCCCCUUAGUGCUGCAGCUAACGCAUUAAGCACUCCGCCUGGGGAGUACGGUCGCAAGACUGAAACUCAAAGGAAUUGACGGGGACCCGCACAAGCGGUGGAGCAUGUGGUUUAAUUCGAAGCAACGCGAAGAACCUUACCAAAUCUUGACAUCCUUUGACCGCUCUAGAGAUAGAGUUUUCCUCUUCGGAGGACAAAGUGACAGGUGGUGCAUGGUUGUCGUCAGCUCGUGUCGUGAGAUGUUGGGUUAAGUCCCGCAACGAGCGCAACCCUUGAGCUUAGUUGCCAUCAUUAAGUUGGGCACUCUAAGUUGACUGCCGGUGACAAACCGGAGGAAGGUGGGGAUGACGUCAAAUCAUCAUGCCCCUUAUGAUUUGGGCUACACACGUGCUACAAUGGACAAUACAAAGGGCAGCGAAACCGCGAGGUCAAGCAAAUCCCAUAAAGUUGUUCUCAGUUCGGAUUGUAGUCUGCAACUCGACUACAUGAAGCUGGAAUCGCUAGUAAUCGUAGAUCAGCAUGCUACGGUGAAUACGUUCCCGGGUCUUGUACACACCGCCCGUCACACCACGAGAGUUUGUAACACCCGAAGCCGGUGGAGUAACCAUUUUGGAGCUAGCCGUCGAAGGUGGGACAAAUGAUUGGGGUGAAGUCGUAACAAGGUAGCCGUAUCGGAAGGUGCGGCUGGAUCACCUCCUUUCUA